UCCGGUGGCCAUAGCGAGAGGGAAACACCUCUUCCCAUUCCGAACAGAGCAGUUAAGCCUUUCAGCGCCGAUGGUACUUGGCCCGCAAGGGCCUGGGAGAGUAGGACGCCGCCGGUU
rnacentral:rRNA from 1 species